GACGAACGCUGGCGGCGUGCUUAACACAUGCAAGUCGAGCGGAAAGGCCCUUCGGGGUACUCGAGCGGCGAACGGGUGAGUAACACGUGAGUAAUCUGCCCUUGGCUUUGGGAUAACUACCGGAAACGGUGGCUAAUACCGGAUACGACAACCGUCUGCAUGGGCUGGUUGUGGAAAGUUUUUUCGGCCAGGGAUGUGCUCGCGGCCUAUCAGCUUGUUGGUGGGGUAAUGGCCUACCAAGGCUUCGACGGGUAGCCGGCCUGAGAGGGUGACCGGCCACACUGGGACUGAGACACGGCCCAGACUCCUACGGGAGGCAGCAGUGGGGAAUAUUGGACAAUGGGCGGAAGCCUGAUCCAGCAACGCCGCGUGAGGGAUGACGGCCGUCGGGUUGUAAACCUCUUUCAGUACCGACGAAGCGCCGAUGAUGGUGGUGACGGUAGGAACAGAAGAAGCACCGGCCAACUACGUG
rnacentral:rRNA from 1 species